GACGAACGCUGGCGGCGUGCUUAACACAUGCAAGUGGAGCGACGAACCAGGCUUCGGCCUGGGGCAGAGCCGCGAACGGGUGAGUAACACGUGGGUAACCUGCCCUGAUGACUGGGACAACCCGGGGAAACCCGGGCUAAUACCGGAUGUGCUGCUCCCACACCAGUGGGAGUAGGAAAGGAAGCUUCGGCCUCCGCAUCAGGAUGGGCCCGCGGCCCAUUAGCUUGUUGGUGAGGAACGGCUCACCAAGGCUUCGAUGGGUAGCUGGUCUGAGAGGACGAUCAGCCACACUGGGACUGAGACACGGCCCAGACUCCUACGGGAGGCAGCAGUGGGGAAUCUUGCGCAAUGCGCGAAAGCGUGACGCAGCAACGCCGCGUGGGGGAAGACGGCCU
rnacentral:rRNA from 1 species